rnacentral:lncRNA from 1 species
CUGGAGUAGCUCCUUAUAGAACAGGGUUUCUCUCCUGGAUGUAUAAUUUAGGAGAUGGGAAUUUUUACAGCCUCCGAAAUUACGCGUCGGCUCCAACAGAUGUCUAACUGUGCGGACGAGGGUCAUUCUGACUGGUCUGUGGAGAACUGGCUGAGUGGGUUUGAAAAAGACAAGAGACAUAUUUAUAAGAGUCCAGUGAGCAAAUGAAGAUAUUCCAGGUAAGGGUGUUGUAAGUGGGUUCAAAUAGAAAUGGAAUAAU